AGAUUAAGUUAUUAAGGGCGCACGGUGGAUGCCUUGGCACUAGAAGCCGAUGAAGGACGUUACUAACGACGAUAUGCUUUGGGUAGCUGUAAGUAAGCGUUGAUCCAGAGAUUUCCGAAUGGGGGAACCCAGCAUGAGUUAUGUCAUGUUAUCGACAUGUGAAUUCAUAGCAUGUCAGAAGGCAGACCCGGAGAACUGAAACAUCUUAGUACCCGGAGGAAGAGAAAGAAAAAUCGAUUCCCUGAGUAGCGGCGAGCGAAACGGGAAUAGCCCAAACCAACAAGCUUGCUUGUUGGGGUUGUAGGACACUCUAUACGGAGUUACAAAAGAACAUGUUAGACGAAUCAUCUGGAAAGAUGAAUCAAAGAAGGUAAUAAUCCUGUAGUCGAAAACAUAUUCUCUCUUGAGUGGAUCCUGAGUACGACGGAGCACGUGAAAUUCCGUCGGAAUCUGGGAGGACCAUCUCCUAAGGCUAAAUACUCUCUAGUGACCGAUAGUGAACCAGUACCGUGAGGGAAAGGUGAAAAGUACCCCGGAAGGGGAGUGAAAGAGAACUUGAAACCGUGUGCUUACAAGUAGUCAGAGCCCGUUAAUGGGUGAUGGCGUGCCUUUUGUAGAAUGAACCGGCGAGUUACGAUCUGAUGCAAGGUUAAGCAGCAAAUGUGGAGCCGCAGCGAAAGCGAGUCUGAAUAGGGCGUUGAGUAUUUGGUCGUAGACCCGAAACCAGGUGAUCUACCCUUGGUCAGGUUGAAGUUCAGGUAACACUGAAUGGAGGACCGAACCGACUUACGUUGAAAAGUGAGCGGAUGAACUGAGGGUAGCGGAGAAAUUCCAAUCGAACUUGGAGAUAGCUGGUUCUCUCCGAAAUAGCUUUAGGGCUAGCCUCAAGUGAUGAUUAUUGGAGGUAGAGCACUGUUUGGACGAGGGGCCCCUCUCGGGUUACCGAAUUCAGACAAACUCCGAAUGCCAAUUAAUUUAACUUGGGAGUCAGAACAUGGGUGAUAAGGUCCGUGUUCGAAAGGGAAACAGCCCAGACCACCAGCUAAGGUCCCAAAAUAUAUGUUAAGUGACAAAG
rnacentral:rRNA from 1 species